rnacentral:rRNA from 1 species
GACGUAGGGGGCGAGCGUUGUCCGGAUUCACUGGGCGUAAAGAGCUCGUAGGCGGUCUGUCGCGUCUGCUGUGAAAACUUGGGGCUUAACCCUGAGCUUGCGGUCGAUACGGGCAUGACUGGAGUUCGGCAGGGGAGACUGGAAUUCCUGGUGUAGCGGUGAAAUGCGCAGAUAUCAGGAGGAACACCGGUGGCGAAGGCGACUACCUGGCCUGUUCUUGACGCUGAGGCGCGAAAGCUAGGGGAGCAAACGGG